rfam:Xanthomonas campestris pv. campestris str. ATCC 33913, complete genome.
AUGUACGCCGGUACACUCCGGUUCCUCCGCGCCGUCCGCAUCCACCUGACGACUGCUCGCUACGUUUUGUUAGCC